rnacentral:rRNA from 1 species
GACGGAGCGACCGAACGUUAUUCGGAAUUAUUGGGCUUAAAGGGUGCGUAGGCGGCGUUUUAAGUCAGGUGUGAAAUCCCACGGCUCAACCGUGGAAGGUCGACCGAUACUGCAGUGCUCGAGUGGGUCAGAGGUAAGCGGAACUGAAGGUGGAGCGGUGAAAUGCGUUGAUAUCAUUAGGAACACCAGUGGCGAAGGCGGCUUACUGGGUCUCUUAUAACGCUGAGGCACGAAAGCUAGGUUAGCUAACAGU